rnacentral:rRNA from 1 species
AUUGAACGCUGGCGGCAUGCUUUACACAUGCAAGUCGAACGGCAGCGCGGGCUUCGGCCUGGCGGCGAGUGGCGAACGGGUGAGUAAUACAUCGGAACGUGCCCAGUAGUGGGGGAUAGCUCGGCGAAAGCCGGAUUAAUACCGCAUACUACCUGAGGGUGAAAGCGGGGGAUCUUCGGACCUCGCGCUAUUGGAGCGGCCGAUGGCAGAUUAGCUAGUUGGUGGGGUAAAGGCCUACCAAGGCGACGAUCUGUAGCUGGUCUGAGAGGACGACCAGCCACACUGGGACUGAGACACGGCCCAGACUCCUACGGGAGGCAGCAGUGGGGAAUUUUGGACAAUGGGCGAAAGCCUGAUCCAGCAAUGCCGCGUGUGUGAUGAAGGCCUUCGGGUUGUAAAGCACUUUUGGCGGGAACGAAAAGGACUGUGCCAAUACCACGGUUCGAUGACGGUACCCGCAGAAUAAGCACCGGCUAACUACGU